CUGACAUAGGGACGCCAGUGGCGUCGGUGGCACGAUUUGCCCAGCUUUCUAAGGAGGCGGAACUGGACAGAGCUCCUGGACCAGGCAAAUAGGAGCAAAGUUUUCGAGCGUGGGCCUAGAGAACGGCUUCGUGGCUAAGAAGAGUAUGCACUGCUCUUCUAGGGGACUUGAGGUUUAUUUCCAGCAACAACAUCAAGCUUCUCCCUGCUGUUUGUAACUCCUUUCUGAAUCCUCUCAACUCACAGAUACAUGUACAAACCCGCACAGGUCAUGAACACUAUUAAAAUUAAAC
rnacentral:lncRNA from 1 species